rnacentral:misc_RNA from 1 species
CUGUGACAGGUGCCCCCCCCGGGGGGACCCUGCCAGAGAUAGCACCCCUUGUCUUUUCCGAGCACCCAACCGUUUCCUCGGCGGGCCCGCCCGCCAACGGGGACCAACCACAAACCUUACACCGCAGUUAAGCAGUAAACCGUACAAAACCCAAAAAAUCA